rnacentral:rRNA from 1 species
GAUGAACGCUGGCGGCGUGCCUAAUACAUGCAAGUCGAGCGAACAGACGAGGAGCUUGCUCCUCUGACGUUAGCGGCGGACGGGUGAGUAACACGUGGAUAACCUACCUAUAAGACUGGGAUAACUUCGGGAAACCGGAGCUAAUACCGGAUAAUAUAUUGAACCGCAUGGUUCAAUAGUGAAAGACGGUUUUGCUGUCACUUAUAGAUGGAUCCGCGCCGCAUUAGCUAGUUGGUAAGGUAACGGCUUACCAAGGCAACGAUGCGUAGCCGACCUGAGAGGGUGGUCGGCCACCCUGGAACUGAGACACGGUCCAGACUCCUACGGGAGGCAGCAGUAGGGAAUCUUCCGCAAUGGGCGAAAGCUUGGCGGAGCAACGCCGCGUGAGUGAUGAAGGUCUUCGGAUCGUAAAACUCUGUUAUUAGUGAAGAACAAAUGUGUAAGUAACUAUGCACGUCUUGACGGUACCUAAUCAGAAAGCCACGGCUAACUACGUG